AAAAAAAAAAAAAAAACAAAAACAAAAAACAAAACAAAACAAAAAACCCAAAAAAACAAAAAACAAAACAACUGGGUUGCUUUAGGGAAGCCCGGCUUGGAGUGGACAAUGGUGUCCAGGCCCCUGAAAGGGGCUGAUUGGAUUAUGAGGCAAAUGGAGGCAGAAGGAGCACGCAGGAGACAAAUGCAGUGGGCGGAGACCCGCUCUGAGUUAAUCAGGCUGAUUGAAGGGACCUUUUCUGUCUUGCCGAGUGGCCCGGGGGGGCUCUCACUAGUGCACUGCUGUGUGCACAUGGAGACUGGAGCUACCCUGGUCCCUCUCUGGCAACUGUUCAUUCAUUUGAUGCUCACAACUCCCUGUCCUGACCCAGGGCCGGCCUGCCAUCACGCAGGGAAGCAGAGGUCGCCAAGCGGUUUCCGACGGGGCCCCCCCACAUAACGUUAGCCUCGCGGUCUCUUCGGUUUUAGCAGCAGUGGACAUGAACCUGUUUCCAGCCUGCAUCCUCCAGUUCCUCUCGGGACUCCUGGCUCCACUGUGCUCACCUGGAGCCCCGCCAGCCCGCCUCCCCCUGUCCUCCUUCCUCGCCACUCCAGUGUCUGUCUUUCCUUCACAGCCCCGGCUUCUCGAGGCCUGUCUACACUCGCUGCUUUCCUUCCUCACCUCCAAUUUCCCCUCCAACCCACUGCUUCCUGACUCGCUCUUCUCCAUCGAACGGCUCUCGCUCAGGCCUGUCGCGUCUUCCUGUGCCAUUUGCUGUUGUGCUCAGGUUCCACGAGCUGCCCAUCUCCACAGAAGAGCAGCUGGCAUUGCCCACCGGCCAUGCCGGCUGAAGAAAAGAAGACUGAGGACCCCAGGAUGCCCAGCGCGAGGACCCCAGGAAGCCCAGCGCGAGGACUCCACCCACGACGCCCAGCGCGAGGACUUCACGCACAACACGUUGCAACCCUCCUGGAUUAGGCCAAAGCCAUCAUCUGGAAUCCUGCGUGGGACCCUGGACACACGGACACAGACACCUGCCCCCAGGACCCUCCAACUGUAAAUCCCUCUACAGCCACGGGGACGCCUUGCACAUUUCCUGUGGGACAUGCUGGACCCAAGACUCUGGACCCUGGCCUCCCCUUGAGUAGAGAGACCCACCUACUGACUGAUGAACUGCGCUGACCCUGGGGUCAGGCAUGUGGCCUUGAUCCCUACCCAUGGACCCUGAGACUUGGGGGGGUGGGAGAAAGGCUGUUGUGUCUUCACUGUUGAGUCUACAUCUGUGAAAUGGGCUCAGGUUCCUACCUCACAGGGCUGUUGUGAGGCAGCCGCAAUGUGCUUAGAAGCAUGGGGCCUAGUGGCUCAUGGUGCUUUCAAUAAAUUUCUUGUUUUAACUAAA
rnacentral:lncRNA from 1 species